rnacentral:rRNA from 1 species
GGCGGCAGGCCUCAAACAUGCAAGUCUAGGGGGUAGCAAUACCACCGGCGGACGGGUGCGUAACACGUGGGAAUAUACCUUUCGGUACGGAACAACUGCGGGAAACUGCAGCUAAUACCGUAUACGUCCUAGCGGAGAAAGAUUUAUCGCCGAAGGAUUAGCCCGCGUAGGAUUAGCUAGUUGGUGAGGUAAUGGCUCACCAAGGCUCCGAUCCUUAGCUGUUCUGAGAGGAAGAUCAGCCACACUGGGACAGAGACACGGCCCAGACUCCUACGGGAGGCAGCAGUUGGGAAUCUUGGACAAUGGGGGAAACCCUGAUCCAGCCAUGCCGCGUGAGUGAUGAAGGCCUUCGGGUUGUAAAACUCUUUCGACGGGGACGAUAAUGACGGUACCCGUAGAAGAAGCUCCGGCUAACUUCGUGCCAGCAGCCGCGGUAAUACNAAGGGGGCUAGCGUUGUUCGGAAUUACUGGGCGUAAAGCGCGCGCAGGCGGUCUUCCAAGUCAGUGGUGAAAGCCCGGA